rnacentral:rRNA from 1 species
CAUAGAGAAGCUUGCUUCUUUGAUGACGACCGGCGCACGGGUGCGUAACGCGUAUAGAAUCUACCUUAUACUGAGGGAUAGCCUUUGGAAACGAAGAUUAAUACCUCAUAGUAUGUUUUUAUCGCAUGAUAGAUACAUUAAAGGUUACGGUAUAAGAUGACUAUGCGUUCUAUUAGCUAGAUGGUGUGGUAACGGCACACCAUGGCAACGAUAGAUAGGGGCCCUGAGAGGGGGAUCCCCCACACUGGUACUGAGACACGGACCAGACUCCUACGGGAGGCAGCAGUGAGGAAUAUUGGACAAUGGAGGCAACUCUGAUCCAGCCAUGCCGCGUGCAGGAAGACUGCCCUAUGGGUUGUAAACUGCUUUUAUACAGGAAGAAACCUUUUCACGUGUGAGAAGCUGACGGUACUGUAAGAAUAAGGAUCGGCUAACUCCGUGCCAGCAGCCGCGGUAAUACGGAGGAUCCAAGCGUUAUCCGGAAUCAUUGGGUUUAAAGGGUCCGUAGGUGGAUAAUUAAGUCAGGGGUGAAAGUCUGCAGCUCAACUGUAGAAUUGCCUUUGAUACUGGUUAUCUUGAAUUAUUGUGAAGUAGUUAGAAUAUGUAGUGUAGCGGUGAAAUGCAUAGAUAUUACAUAGAAUACCAAUUGCGAAGGCAGAUUACUAACAAUAUAUUGACACUGAUGGACGAAAGCGUGGGGAGCGAACAGGAUUAGAUACCCUGGUAGUCCACGCCGUAAACGAUGGUCACUAGCUGUUCGGAUUUAUCUGAGUGGCUAAGCGAAAGUGAUAAGUGACCCACCUGGGGAGUACGUUCGCAAGAAUGAAACUCAAAGGAAUUGACGGGGGCCCGCACAAGCGGUGGAGCAUGUGGUUUAAUUCGAUGAUACGCGAGGAACCUUACCAGGGCUUAAAUGUAAAUUGACAGGUUUAGAGAUAGACUUUUCUUCGGACAAUUUACAAGGUGCUGCAUGGUUGUCGUCAGCUCGUGCCGUGAGGUGUCAGGUUAAGUCCUAUAACGAGCGCAACCCCUGUUGUUAGUUGCCAGCGAUUCAAGUC